UGGUGAAUUACUGGGCAUUUACUCCUUUGGCAGGUGGCUUACAACCGCAAAUACUUUCAAUGGGAGUGGAUACAAUAUAAGCUCACUGCCAAAGGAGAUUUGCCCGGCAAUUCACCG
rfam:Eucalyptus grandis cultivar BRASTZ1 unplaced genomic scaffold scaffold_5, whole genome shotgun sequence.